UCUCUGGCCAGAGAAUUGUUAUUUGAGCGCCAAUUCUAUUUCCUUCUUCCUACAUACGCUUUCUUCAAUUUGGAAACCUAAUCAAUUCUCUCAAUCAGUUGAAUCUCCAGGCAAAUUGAUUUCUCUUUACAUUCACACGGCUUCUCAAAACAUUACACGUUCAAUUUUACAAACCCUAAAUCUCAUCUACGGCUUCAUCUGUAGCGAUUGUACCUGGCCAUACCCACUUCAGAAAUCCCUAAAUCUCAAGCAUUCGAACUCUCAUCUAGGCAUGUUUUCUCUUUUUUGAUGUUGUCUGUAUUUGGUAAUCUAGCUGCGAAACCCUAAUUGGUAUCGAAAUACAGAGUGUGUGAUGCGGUGUGAACUUGGAUGCACUUUUGAGGUACACCAGUCUGAUGAUGAUAGGAGGAAUCGGGUAUCUUACUGAGUCUCACACACACAAAUGAGAAAAGAGGAAUUAUGUCUUCUUUGAAAUUUCACUUUUAAAGGAAUGGAUAUGGACAGCGGUCACCCUAUGCGCUUGGUUGACAUAAAAUGAUUGUGUUUUAAAGCAAGCGAACUAAUCGAAUACAAUCACCAACCUACGCUUUCGUUUAUUCUUUUCCUUCUCGAUCAAUCGUUCCUUCUGGUUUAUCCUUCAUCAUCCAAUUUUAAGAUUAUAAGAGAUGAAGAUCUUGAAGAGUUAAAGGAGCUUGGCUACAAUAUAUAUGAGACAGUUUACCAUGAAAAUUUGAGGGGAACUGAUGUGGCAACUAAGCAAAUAAAAAGAGCUGUUUUGCAGCUCGAUUAUAUGAACAAGAGAGAUUGGUUGUUGUGGUUGCUGUUAUGACAUGGUUGGGAUGCUAUUUUUUCUACGUUCCUCUAGAAAUAUCAUAUUCAUCUUUCAUCUGGCCGUGAUGUGACGAUAUCAGAGUUGGUUGCAGAGACAAAGCCUCGGUGCAUCAUCAACAAUCUGGUAAUUGGCUAAUGUUUCAGCUCAAAGUUUCACGGUUUUGGGAUUACCAUAUCCGGUUCGGAGGAGGUGUCGAACCGGAUGGUGGAGAAUACUAUGUCGAGUAUGAUCAACUGGGUCGCAUACACUCAUUGAGUCGUCUUCGAAUUAACAAGGUGGUAAGUCUCUUUCAGACAAAGAUCCCUUGGAACAGAAAGGUAUAAUAUUGUUUUUAUCUUAUUAAAAAAGAAAUUUCAUUUUAUUGUUAAAUUUGAAGUGUUUUGACUUUGAACAUACAGUUUAAUGUUGCGGGUUUAAUCUCAUUUAUUGUAUGUCAGUACUUUUCAUUUUUACCAUUCUACCCGUGCUUAACACGCUAAUGGUGGACAGUGGGAUUAUGUUCCUUCUUAUGUUACUUCUCUUAAAGAAGGAUUUCCUCUUCAGAGAUGAUUGACAGCUUGAGACAUGAGAUGAAUCAAGUCUACAUUGGAGGGAGUUCAGGUGAUCCAUUCAGCAGGCAUCAUGCUUCUUCCUCACACGAUGCAUCUAUGAGGGAAGAUCAUGUUAACCAAUAUAGAAGAUCUGAGUCAUCAUAUGCAAAUGGUUCAAGGUACUCCCACUAUGCACAUGGUGGGACAUCAUCAGCUGAAGGACUGCACACACCAGAUCAUUUCUCAUCCAUAAAUUAAUUAGGCAUAGCUCUGUAGGAAAGGUGGCGUAGUUGAUGUGUGUAAAAUGCAACAUAUAAAUUACAUCAAUUGAAGCAUAAAACUAACCCUUUUUAAGUACUAAUGUUGGAAAAAUAGUGUUUUUGUCUUCCUUUUGUAUUUUCAGGAUAAAA